GGGGAUAGAGCUCAGUGGUAGAGCAUGUGCUUAGCAUGCACCAGGUCCUGGGUUCAAGUCCUAGUACCUCCA
rnacentral:tRNA from 1 species